rnacentral:tRNA from 2 species
GGCGGCGUAACUCAGUGGCAGAGUAGGGGACUCAUAAGCCCUUUGUCCUCGGUUCAAGUCCGAGCGCCGCCA